rnacentral:misc_RNA from 1 species
UAAGAGAGUACUAUGAGAAGAAUCGUGAGAAUGGGGUGUUUUGUUGUCUUGUUUGUUGUGGGGUUCGUGAGAAAGGGUGGAAGAGGUUUAAGGAUUGUUCGUCUCUUGUUCAGCAUUCCAUAAGCAUUGCGAAAACCUCUAAGAGACGAGCUCAUCGGGCUUACUGUAAGGUCGUCUGUGAAAUUCUUGGCUGGGAUGUUGAUAGCCUGCCUUCCAUUGUCCUCUCUACAGGUGUUAAGCUCGGUGAAUCUUCUGAUAAACCAGUUAAGGCUCAGGGCAAUGUCGAUGAUGGUGG